rfam:Ornithorhynchus anatinus chromosome 3, whole genome shotgun sequence.
GUGCUCACUUCGGCAGCACAUAUACUAAGAUUGGAACGAUACAGAGAUUAACACGGCCCCCGCAGAGUGAUGACACACAAAUUCGCGAAGCGUUCUACAUUUUU